GGCGAACGCUGGCGGCGUGCUUAACACAUGCAAGUCGAACGGAAAGGCCCUGCUUUUGUGGGGCGCUCGAGUGGCGAACGGGUGAGUAACACGUGAGUAACCUGCCCUUGACUUUGGGAUAACUUCAGGAAACUGGGGCUAAUACCGGAUAGGAGCUCCUGCUGCAUGGUGGGGGUUGGAAAGUUUCGGCGGUUGGGGAUGGACUCGCGGCUUAUCAGCUUGUUGGUGGGGUAGUGGCUUACCAAGGCUUUGACGGGUAGCCGGCCUGAGAGGGUGACCGGCCACAAUGGGACUGAGAUACGGCCCAGACUCCUACGGGAGGCAGCAGUGGGGAAUAUUGCACAAUGGGCGGAAGCCUGAUGCAGCAACGCCGCGUGCGGGAUGACGGCCUUCGGGUUGUAAACCGCUUUCGCCUGUGACGAAGCGUGAGUGACGGUAAUGGGUAAAGAAGCACCGGCUAACUACGUG
rnacentral:rRNA from 1 species